CCUACGGGAGGCAGCAGUGAGGAAUAUUGGUCAAUGGCCGUAAGGCUGAACCAGCCAAGUAGCGUGAGGGAUGACUGCCCUAUGGUUUGUAAACCUCUUUUAUGCGGGGAUAAAGGUGGCCACGUGUGGAUGUUUGCAGGUACCGCAUGAAUCAGGACCGGCUAAUUCCGUGCCAGCAGCCGGGGUUCUACGGAAGGUCUGGGCGUUAACCGGAUUUAUUGGGUUUAAAGGGAGCGUAGGCCGGUCUUUAAGGUUGCCGGUGAAUGGUUUGGGUCAACCAUGAGAGUGCUGCGGGAACUGGAGACCUUGAGUGCGGGGAAGGCAGGUGGAAUUCGUGGUGUAGCGGUGAAAUGCGUAGAUAUUACGAAGAACCC
rnacentral:rRNA from 1 species